rnacentral:rRNA from 1 species
UACGGAGGGGGCAAGCGUUGUUCGGAAUUACUGGGCGUAAAGGGCUCGUAGGCGGCCAACUAAGUCAGACGUGAAAUCCCUCGGCUUAACCGGGGAACUGCGUCUGAUACUGGAUGGCUUGAGAUUGGGAGAGGGAUGCGGAAUUCCAGGUGUAGCGGUGAAAUGCGUAGAUAUCUGGAGGAACACCGGUGGCGAAGGCGGCAUCCUGGACCAACACUGACGCUGAGGAGCGAAAGCCAGGGGAGCAAACGGG